rnacentral:rRNA from 1 species
UACGUAGGGGGGCUAGCGUUGUCCGGAAUCAUUGGGCGUAAAGAGCGUGUAGGCGGCCCGGUAAGUCCGCUGUGAAAGUCCAGGGCUCAACCCUGGGAUGCCGGUGGAUACUGUCGGGCUCGAGUCCGGAAGAGGAGUGUGGAAUUCCUGGUGUAGCGGUGAAAUGCGCAGAUAUCAGGAGGAACACCGGUGGCGAAGGCGGGUCUCUGGGCCGAUGACUGACGCUGGAGGAGCGAAAGCGUGGGGAGCGAACAGG